rnacentral:rRNA from 1 species
AAGUAAAAGUUGUAACAAGGUUUCCGUAGGUGAACCUGCGGAAGGAUCAUUAAAAAAAA